CUGGCGGCGUGCAUAACACAUGCAAGUCGAACGAUGAACCUUAAUUGAUUUCUUCGGAAUGAAAAUAAGUGGAUUAGUGGCGAACGGGUGAGUAACACGUGAGUAACCUGCCUUACACAAGGGGAUAGCCUUUGGAAACGAAGAAUAAUACCCUAUAAAGUCAAAAUAUCGCAUGAUAUAGUGACCAAAGAUUUAUCGGUGUAAGAUGGACUUGCGUCUGAUUAGCUAGUUGGUGAGAUAAAAGCCCACCAAGGCGACGAUCAGUAGCCGGCUUGAGAGAGUGUACGGCCACAUUGGGACUGAGACACGGCCCAAACUCCUACGGGAGGCAGCAGUGGGGAAUUUUGCACAAUGGGGGAAACCCUGAUGCAGCGACGCCGCGUGAUUUAGAAGGCCUUCGGGUUGUAAAAAUCUUUUUUAUGGGAUGAAAAUGACAGUACCAUAAGAAUAAGGUCCGGCUAAAUACGUGCCAGCAGCCGCGGUAAUACGUAUGGACCGAGCGUUGUCCGGAAUCAUUGGGCGUAAAGGGUACGUAGGCGGCCUAGUAAGUUAGAAGUGAAAUAAUAUAGCUCAACUAUAUAAAGCUUUUAAAACUGGUUAGGCUUGAGAGAUGAAAGGGAAAGUGGAAUUCCUAGUGUAACGGUGAAAUGCGCAAAAUAUUAAGAAAGAAUACCCGGGUGGCGAAAGGCGACUUUCUGGGUCAUCAUCCUGACGCUGAGGUACAAAAGCGUGGGUAAGCAAACAGGAAUUUAGAUACCCUGGUAGUCCACGCUGUAACUGAUGAGUGUUAGGUUCUUGGAAUAAUCUGGGAGCCGCAGCUAACGCAUUAAACACUCCGCCUGGGGAGUACGCACGCAAGUGGUGAAACUCAAAGGAAUUGACGGGGACCCGCACAAGCAGCGGAGCAUGUGGUUUAAUUCGACGCAACGCGAAGAACCUUACCAAGUCUUGACAUAAUACGGAGGGAAUUAGAGAUAGUUUCUUAAGACUUCGGUCUACUGUAUUACAGGUGGUGCAUGGUUGUCGUCAGCUCGUGUCGUGAGAUGUUGGGUUAAGUCCCAUAACGAGCGCAACCCCUAUCGUUAGUUACCAUCAUUAAGUUGGGGACUCUAGCGAUACUGCCGGUGAUAAACCGGAGGAAGGUGGGGACGACGUCAAAUCAUCAUGCCCUUUAUGACUUGGGCUACACACGUGCUACAAUGGCAGAUACAGAGGGCAGCGAAAGAGCGAUCUGAAGCGAAACUCACAAAGUCUGUCCCAGUUCGGAUUGUACUCUGCAACUCGAGUACAUGAAGUUGGAGUUGCUAGUAAUCGCGAAUCAGAAUGUCGCGGUGAAUGCGUUCCCGGGUCUUGUACACACCGCCCGUCACACCAUGGGAGUUGGCAAUACCCGAAGCCUGUGAGCGAACCUUUUAGAACGCAGCAGUCGAAGGUAGGGUCAGUAACUGGGGUGAAGU
rnacentral:rRNA from 1 species